UUAACCUUUCAAAACAGGGUGCGUCGCGGCCCCCGAGGUGCGGAAACAAGCCUCGAGCGGUUUGGGGUCCUCCCCUUCACGCGCGCACGACUGCCAUCCUUACUUUACGAGCACCUUCUGUUCUCCCUCGGCGGGGCAACCUGCCGUUGGAACCGAAUAAACUCUUUUUGCAUCUAGCAUUACCUGUUCCGAAACAAACAAUCGUUACAACUUUCAACAAUGGAUCUCUUGGCUCUGGCAUCGAUGAAGAACGCAGCGAAAUGCGAUAAGUAGUGUGAAUUGCAGAAUUCAGUGAAUCAUCGAAUCUUUGAACGCACAUUGCGCCCCUCGGUAUUCCGUGGGGCAUGCCUGUUCGAGCGUCAUCUACACCCUCAAGCUCUGCUUGGUGUUGGGCGUCUGUCCCGCCUCCGCGCGUGGGCUCGCCCCAAAUUCAUUGGCAGCGGUCCUUGCCUCCUCUCGCGCAGCACAUUGCGCUUCUUGAGGGGCUCCGGUUCGCGUCCAACAAGCACAUUUACCGUCUUUGACCUCGGAUCAGGUAGGGAUACCCGCUGAACUUAAGCAUAUCAAUAAGCGGAGGA
rnacentral:sRNA from 1 species